rnacentral:lncRNA from 1 species
CAAGCCUCUGCUUGCAAUUCGCCACAACGACCGUCUCUGAAGGUGCACCUUGGGUGUAAAAUCUUCACAAGCCUGGUGGUCAGCCUCUGGCUGGAUCACGAUCAUCGGAUCGCGGGCAAAGAACCCAACUUUACUUAGCUUAUAGCAACAUG